GCGCUGAUGGUGCAGAGGUAGCACUCACCCUCCAGUAAGGGUGAAGCGCGGGUUCGAGUACCGCUGAGAUUUUUGCU